rnacentral:rRNA from 1 species
GACGAACGCUGGCGGCGUGCUUAACACAUGCCAGUCGAACGGAAAGGCCCUGCUUGCAGGGUACUCGAGUGGCGAACGGGUGAGUAACACGUGGGUGAUCUGCCCUGCACUUCGGGAUAAGCCUGGGAAACUGGGUCUAAUACCGGAUAGGAGCCAUUUUUAGUGUGAUGGUUGGAAAGUUUUUUCGGUGUAGGAUGAGCUCGCGGCCUAUCAGCUUGUUGGUGGGGUAAUGGCCUACCAAGGCGGCGACGGGUAGCCGGCCUGAGAGGGUGGACGGCCACAUUGGGACUGAGAUACGGCCCAGACUCCUACGGGAGGCAGCAGUGGGGAAGAUUGCACAAUGGGCGCAAGCCUGAUGCAGCGACGCCGCGUGGGGGAUGACGGCCUUCGGGUUGGAAACUCCUUUCGCUAGGGACGAAGCUUUUUGUGACGGUACCUAGAUAAGAAGCACCGGCUAACUACGUG